GACGAACGCUGGCGGCGUGCUUAACACAUGCAAGUCGAACGGAAAGGCCCUGCUUUUGUGGGGUGCUCGAGUGGCGAACGGGUGAGUAACACGUGAGUAACCUGCCCUUGACUUUGGGAUAACUUCAGGAAACUGGGGCUAAUACCGGAUAGGAGCUCCUGCUGCAUGGUGGGGGUUGGAAAGUUUCGGCGGUUGGGGAUGUACUCGCGGCUUAUCAGCUUGUUGGUGGGGUAGUGGAUUACCAAGGCUUUGACGGGUAGCCGGCCUGAGAGGGUGACCGGCCACAUUGGGACUGAGAUACGGCCCAGACUCCUACGGGAGGCAGCAGUGGGGAAGAUUGCACAAUGGGCGGAAGCCUAAUGCAGCAACGCCGCGUGCGGGAUGACGGCCUUCGGGUUGUAAACCGCUUUCGCCUGUGACGAAGCGUGAGUGACGGUAAUGGGUAAAGAAGCACCGGCUAACUACGUG
rnacentral:rRNA from 1 species